GGCGCGCUUCCGCCCGCGUCCGAUGGCCGGAGACCAAGCACGCCCACAGGUGUUCGACGCAGGCCCGACCGGCGCAUGCCGUGACCCCUUGCUUGCUGGUUGCCCUCUGCUCCCGGCUUCUGAGGUGCGAGUUAAGCUCUUGUAGAAAUCAGAGAGCAACUGCUUAAUUCGUGCGGCACUGUGGUACUAUCUAGCAUCUCUGUUUGACAAUUCCCAGGAAAUUUCUUAUUUUCUUUUCGGUGCAUGUAGGUUGCCGGAGGAUUGCGCUCCUGGAUUGGAUUGGAGUUUAGAUGGCAAUUGUAUCAAGUUAUAGCCUUAUAGGGCUGAUACAGUUAUAGGAUCACAAUCCAGGAUUGGAUUGGAUUGAGGCGAAACUUUGCACUUAUCGAUGAAAUACCAACUUGUAUGUCAACCCUGUUCAGUUAUACCUGAAAUGUCAACUGUAUCCUAGUUUGCCCAUGAUUAAUUAAUCUAUUAACUUGCCAAUCUGCUUAGUUGGUUAAGUCUCAAGUCUCAACUGUGUGUUUAUUGUCCAGGAAGCAAAGCAAAUGAUGAAAUUAAAGCUGUUAGUACAUAAAGAUUGAAGAGCACAUAUUCUGAUGUGAUGGACUAUGUUAUAGGAAUGCUGACAUGGUUGAGUUUUCGAUGGAAUCAUAUGUGCGUCAGCUCAAAUCAUCUUACAUUGUUACAUACUUUUAC
rnacentral:lncRNA from 1 species